UCCCUCUCAGGGUCGCAUCUGAAGAGUUUCCUGUACUCUAUCAGUCUUCCUAGGAGAGGGAGAGUCAAGCAGAGGCCCACCCAUUCCAUUCCUAGCUUGGCCAGUGGCUAGAGAAUGGAAGGCAAUCUGCUACAAGU